CGGAUGCGGAUCUCGAAAGCCUGUCCCAGUUCGGACUGGAGUCUGCAACCCGACUCCACGAAGUUGGAUUCGCUAGUAAUCGCGCGUCAGCCAUGGCGCGGUGAAUACGUUCCCGGGCCUUGUACACACCGCCCGUCAAGCCAUGGGAGCCGGGGGGCGCCUGAAGUCCGGGACCGCGAGGACCGGCCUAGGGCGAAACUGGUAACUGGGGCUAAGUCGUAACAAGGUACC
rnacentral:rRNA from 1 species